CGUCAGGAACAAUCCUUUAUUGGCUGUCUGCUCCUGAUUUACCAGGAAUCCAAGAAGCUGUCUUGAACAUUCUGAAAUUGGAACAAUGAGGAGAAGAAUCAUGAUGUCACAUAUGAAAAAGCACAGAGAAACCUGCCUCUGCCCUGGCCUACCUGAAGCCUUGGACAGGACAGUCUAACCUCUGGGCCUCACUCUGCCCUGGCCUACCUGAAGCCUUGGACAGGACAGUCUAACCUCUGGGCCUCAGUUUCCUCCUUUAUAUAAAAGGAGGGGAGACUUCGGGACAUGCCCGCACACAGCAGGUGCGAAGGCGAGUACUAACCCUGCCUUCGCAGACAAGGCGUGAUCCAAAGAGCCCCGCCUUGCCAUGAAGGUAAAGGAUGUGAGGGACAGCUGCGCGGAGGGUGACUGCUCUUCAAGCACCGCCCAGGACUGUCGGCGGCCUACAGUGUGAACACCUGCGCCCUCCUUUCUCCCCUGUUCUCCCCCUCUUGUCGGCUUCGAUGCACAGGCUGUAUAAUUCAAGUCAUUAAUUUUUUCCAUUCAGUGCGCUGCCGGUUUCUUCCCAUGUCGUUCCUGGAACCCUCUUGUGUGCAUCUUCUAAAUUUAAAAUAAAUACAGUGUACAUAAUUGGAUGCUAA